UAUCUGCAGUCGAGCGACUGAUUAGAAGCUUGCUUCUAUGACGUUAGCGGCGGACGGGUGAGUAACACGUGGGCAACCUGCCUGUAAGACUGGGAUAACUUCGGGAAACCGAAGCUAAUACCGGAUAGGACCUUCUCCUUCAUGGGAGAUGAUUGAAAGAUGGUUUCGGCUAUCACUUACAGAUGGGCCCGCGGUGCAUUAGCUAGUUGGUGAGGUAACGGCUCACCAAGGCAACGAUGCAUAGCCGACCUGAGAGGGUGAUCGGCCACACUGGGACUGAGACACGGCCCAGACUCCUACGGGAGGCAGCAGUAGGGAAUCUUCCGCAAUGGACGAAAGUCUGACGGAGCAACGCCGCGUGGGUGAUGAAGGCUUUCGGGUCGUAAAACUCUGUUGUUAGGGAAGAACAAGUACAAGAGUAACUGCUUGUACCUUGACGGUACCUAACCAGAAAGCCACGGCUAACUACGUGCCAGCAGCCGCGGUAAUACGUAGGUGGCAAGCGUUAUCCGGAAUUAUUGGGCGUAAAGCGCGCGCAGGCGGUUUCUUAAGUCUGAUGUGAAAGCCCACGGCUCAACCGUGGAGGGUCAUUGGAAACUGGGGAACUUGAGUGCAGAAGAGAAAAGCGGAAUUCCACGUGUAGCGGUGAAAUGCGUAGAGAUGUGGAGGAACACCAGUGGCGAAGGCGGCUUUUUGGUCUGUAACUGACGCUGAGGCGCGAAAGCGUGGGGAGCAAACAGGAUUAGAUACCCUGGUAGUCCACGCCGUAAACGAUGAGUGCUAAGUGUUAGAGGGUUUCCGCCCUUUAGUGCUGCAGCUAACGCAUUAAGCACUCCGCCUGGGGAGUACGGUCGCAAGACUGAAACUCAAAGGAAUUGACGGGGGCCCGCACAAGCGUGGAGCAUGUGGUUUAAUUCGAAGCACCCGAAGAACCUUACCAGGUCUUGACAUCCUCUGACAACUCUAGAGAUAGAGCGUUCCCCUUCGGG
rnacentral:rRNA from 1 species